UGUAAUGGGCGCCACUGGCUUCAAGUGAGACUCCGUGCGCAGAGCACUUCUCAUAAUGUUUGGUUUUCUGGAUGGAAUGUCCACAUCACUGGGAUCUCCGGGAAAGGCACAGAGGAAAGACUAGAGUUAACUGUAUUCUCUGAGGAAUUUAAAAGGACAGGGGGCCAAGACCGUAUCACAGGUAGGAACAAUCAAACUCAACUGUCAACAUAGUUGAAAGUUGAAAACUAUGAAUUACAAAACAUUUGCAACCAAACAACUUUGUAUGACAGUUCAGAAUGAGACAUGCGUAACGUUACAGUAUAUAGUUAGGAGUAAAUCUGAAGUUCUACUUUUGUUCUAAGAUGACUUUGGUGUAUAUUUAAAUGUCUUUAAUAAACCUGACAGUUAAUGCGUAAGUUUGAGAAGUUUUGAACGCAUUUGAACAUUAGAAGCUAAGGUGCUGAGAUUUUCCAAAAAGGUUUAUCCUGAUUUAACACCUACAUACACAUGUCAACAAUAGUAAUUUUGGAAAUUGUUUUUUUUUAAAAAUCCUCUGCUGAAAUUAACUGUCAUUGUUUCCUUAACACUCUAGUUUAGGUUGCUUGGGUAGAACAUGGUGUUUAAAUUUGCACGUACAAAGGCAAACAUUAAAACAAUAAUGUAAACUUGAGAACAUGCAAAAAAUGCAAAUGGACCUAAAAUUCACAACCUAGAAGAAAUCUAGUAAAACAAAUAUUUAAAUCCAAAUUGCAAAAAAAAAAAAUUAAAAAAAAUUGCACAAGCAAGAAUUCAUUUUUAAAAUAUUUCUUAACUGUAAUAACACACAAGACUUGCUCGUGCAUUCUGCCUGACCAGUAGAUCUGCAGGAAUGUAAGGAGUUACGGCACUUAGUGAACGCUGCUAGUCUGUAAUUACUAAUGGAACAGGGAGAGUUCCUGCCUCACAUUGCUGGAAAUGGAGUAGCACUGAAGGUGCACAGAGGGAGGGUGAUUGGUUGCAGUGUCGAGGGUAAUCAAGAGUGGAGGAACUUCUUAAUUAACAAACACUCCCUGCCAAGGGACCAUCUGCCAAGUUAGUCAACAUUAUAUCCACAAGGCUGCAUGUGGAGAAGUGCAAAGAACCAAAAACGAAAUCCCUACAAGGACAGUUACAUAAAUAUGCGUUUUAGGGUUUACAAGUUGACAGUGAUUCAAACAUUUCAAACCAACAAUUUGUAGGUUUCCAGGAAAUUCAUGUCAGAGAUGUUGUGUCAUGUGAAUUCUUUCCAACAUGAAGAGAAAUGUUUAUCCUGGAAAAUAUUUUAUUUUAAAUUGUGUCCAAAAGUUUAUGCAUAAACACCACAAAUGGUCUGCAGAAAAAAUAAAAAAAAAGAUCAUUUAUACAGUAGAAGCUGUUCCUACUUUUCUGUUUCACAUUUAUCAUUUGUUUUUUUCCUUACAGGCUUAAGCUGCUGGUUGUAAAAGAACGAAACUAUCAAGAAAUUAAGGAGAAAAAAAAUGAGAGAGAAAUAUCAGCCCUGAAAGAAGAGCUGAAAAAGCUCAAGGCCUUUGCACUGCUUGUGGUAACAGAGCAACAGUGUCUAAGUGAACUGCUGGAGGAACAGAGGUGUUGCGUCAGAGAACUGACCGCCACCACAGACCGCAUCAAGCAGGACGUCAACGCUGCUUACUCCGGUGCAAACAAAGUGGUGGUUGCAUCGCUGCACAAAGUUUCCAUAUUCAAACAAAGCCAAGACACCAUGACAACCACGGGUGUGCUGUCGGAGGUAGAAGUACUGAGGAGAAGAGUGGUGGAAAUGGAGGGGAAAGACGAAGAGCUGAUGCGCAUGGGGGACCAGUGUCGGGACUUGGACCGCCGACUGGCAAAGGAGAUGAGCCACAGUCAUAGCCUUAGGGCUGAAGUGGAUAAGUUGAAUGGACGAAUCAGUGAAUUAGACAGGAUAGAGGAGGCUUUAGUCAAGAGCAAACAGGACUGUAGUGUUCUGAAGGGAAGCUUAGAGAGAGAAAGAGAGGUAAGCAAGAUGCUGUCAGGUGAGCUUGACUCUUUGAAAGUCAAGAUGAGAGACUUAGAAGUGACUGAAAGCCAGAUGGAAAAGAACGAAGCAAUGAUUCGACAGGACUUGACCAAGCUGAGGUCGCUAACUGUGGCUUUGGUGGAGGACAGAAAGGCCAUGACUGAGAGGCUGCAGCAGGCUGAGGAAAAACUGAACAGGAGGGAGAGCAAAAGAAACGAGCACAGCAUUCUGACAACGAUGACAGGGAGACUAAAUGAAGAGAGGCAGCAGGCACUAAGUUCUCAAGCAGAUUUAGAGGAAAAGCUUAAGGGUAUAGCAAAGGAAAAAGAGGUGCUCCAAGAAAGACUGAAAACAGAAGAGGAAAGAAAUAUAGAGCUGCAGAAUAAAGUCAUAAUAAUGAAGAAAAGGCUACAAGUUUUAGAAAACAGGAAAGAAAAGGAGGAGAAGUACACACAUGGGUCUAUUCCAAACAAUGCCAAUCACCACUGCCAGCUAGAGGACAACAAAGUCAAAGAGCUGACCGAGGAGCUGGACAGGCUGCGAAAGAGACUUUGUGACAAGGAAGCAUUGGAGGGAGAGCUGCAAAAAAGGUUGGACAACUUUCAGUCUCUGGAAAAGAGGUUCAAGGAAGAACAGAGGCGAUCCAGAGUUCUUACAGAGGAACUUGAGGUUGCAAAGAAGGAGCUGUCCAAGUACGAGCGUGCAGAAAAGGAGGACGUCAACCAGGAGCACCUCCUUCUUUGUCGUCUCCAGAAGGAACAAGUAAAGUCCAGACUCUUAGCCAGAGAGGUUGAUAUCUUGAAGGAGAAACUUCAGAAGCUGAUGGGGACUGAGGAGUCCAUCAGUAAAGUACAGACAGAUCACUCCACACUUCAGAAGAAACUGGCCCAGCAAGAAGCCAGAAACAAGGAACUGGCCUCAGAGAUGAAAGAACUUAACGGUGAGCUAGAUAGAUGCAGACCAUCCAAGAAUCUGACCCCUAUUUCUGGCAGGAAACUCUUCCAUCAGGCCACCAAGGAGGUACAAACUGAGACAGUAGAAAGUCUGCUCUAUGACUACACUGAGAAUGGUGAGAAGGUAGGUGGAGAUAACGAUGACAAGGAUCCAAACCAUAAUGGAAGGAUCAUAAACAGACGACCAUCUCUUGUCAACAACCUCAACAGCCUGAACAGUGCCAAUAACAACCUGAGCCAAUACAACAGCAGCCAUUCAGGUCCUGGUUUAGAUAUGCACCAAACGGUUAACGGCGACGUGAUGAUGUUAACACACACCAGAGGGCAGCCUUUACACAUCAAGGUAACACCUCAUCACAUGUUGAACACAGCCACACUGGAGAUUAGCAGCCCCACUGGAGACACAACCCCAUCCUACACCAGCACAGCCGUCAUCCCGUCAGGUGGAGCCUCCCCUAAGCAGAGAAUAACCAUCAUCCAGAACUCAGGUCUGCCAGCAGUCAACGCCAAAACACCUCCAUCAAGCCCCGAUCGCACCAUGUCUCCACUCCAUGGCACAACCAUCACUCGGGUGUUGAGCCCAAGUUCGUCACGCUCAGUGACACCUGAACUCAAUGGAUCCCCAAUUCAGAUUGUCACCGUCAGGACGUGCUCUCCAGAUCCAGUGGAAGCCGCAAACCAGGCUAUCUAUUGUAAAACACCAGAGUGGCAGAAUAGUUGGCAGCAUCAGAAACAGGCCAACAGUACCGACACAAGUCCCAGCAUCAUUACCACAGAGGACAACAAGAUCCACAUUCACCUAGGGAGCCCUUACAUUCAAGGUCAUAAUGGUGUAGCCCACAGCCUACCACAGCCAGAUGGAUCAUACUUUCUUAGGCAUGAGCAAAGAACUCAAGUCAUUACCAGCGGGUGUCAGGUCAAAGGUGCUGGGAAGAUAACAAGUAGCAUCACGAUAACUCCCGCUACCUCUCCAGCAUCACACCCCUCAAAUAUUACAGGUUCGCAGCAGAAACCUGGACCAUCAAGGAUUCCCAAGACAAAAGGAUGUGGCACAAAGAGAAAAAGCAGCACGGCUCUCAACACGAGAGAGAAAAACAGAAAAAAUCCCACAAUGUAUCCAAAGAAAUCGCUGACCUGAAAGUGUCCCAACAUCCCUGAGACUACAUCAUGUUGAGAACUAAAAAUAGAUUGUAAAAAUAUAAGGUGAAAAAGACUCAAACAUGUGCAAGAAAUGUGAUUUUGCUUAUGCCCGUAAUGUAAAAGGAAAUAUCCUCACUUACACAAUGACACGUUGUUUGUUUAAAAUACUGUAUGAGACAGUGCAUGCUGUGCAGAAGUAGUUCUCACAUUAAGCAAGACUUUUCUUGUAUCUUUCGUACACUUAAUAUUAAACUUUUAUUUCCUGUUUUCAGCAUUUAGCAUCAGGUGAGAUCAUAGUAUGUAGGCAAUUUGCCAGUCCAAACGAAACACUUAGAAUGUCAAAUUAACCUUAUUCUGAAUGUUUUUUAAAUGCAAGAGGAAACUGGGUAUGUGGAAAAAACACAGGCCCAAACUGAAAGAACCAUUUUCAAAUUGAACAGAAAAAGACUGGGAUUGAAACAGCUAACCAUAUAUUCUUGCUAUAAAGCACCUGCCACCUUGUGGUCCCCUAAAUAAGUUUAAAAUGUUAUGUAUAAUGUUAUAUAUAAAAUGUUAUUUUCAAGUUCAAAUAAUAAAAUGUAGUUAUGUGAUAAAUAUGUCUUUUAGAAUGACAAUAAAUGGGUUGUAAGGAAUACAAUAAAUUCCAGUAUUCACCAAUGGAAGAAAAAAAAAUCAGACAAUACGUCUUUAUAUAAUAAAUAGAGUGCUUUAUACCUCAUGAAAAAGCACUUUUCGGUCCAACAAGACCAGGUCAAUAAUCCUCAAAGCACAUGAGGGCCCUCUAUUGGUAUGCAGAGGGCAUGAAUAUGCAGGUGAGAACUACUGCGACCUUCAACUACUGACAUACCAAGGGAGGGAGGGAUGGAAUAAAUGCAUUUGGUUUUAGUCAGUUGCAAUUUUUAUAAUAAAGGGUAUAGGAAAAUAUUUUAAUGAUUACUUCAUGCUCAGAAUUGUAUUAUAUAGAUUUCCCUUAUUGUGUAAAUACAGUGGUGGGCCAUCAGGGCCAGCAAGGCCUUCUCUGUUGGCCUAACAUAGAUCAUGAUCAUUAGUUGAUAAAAGUUUAUUUCAUUUUUAAUUUACUUUUCCUAAAUACAUAAAAGCAUAAUUCAUAUUCUUCAUAUUCUCUUCAUGUCAUAUUAGGUUCCUUCCAGUGUUGUUGUUUUUAGGUUAGAGUUUUUAUCCAAUCAGAAUUCAGCUAACUGUUGCCAGGCUGUAUAAAAUCUAUGAAGUAUGAAGUCAACAAUGCGGGCGUCUGUGCAAUGUAAGCAAUCCGAACGGGCACAUACAGUUGAUAAACAGUUGCGAUAGCCAAUCAGAUCACGAGUUGUUGACAGUAGGUCUUCUAGCUUGCCUCAUGUUGAACGUGACAUGUAUGCGUCCUGUGAUUGGAUACUCGUUUCCCGCCGUAAAACAACAAGAAGCAAGUUCAACGCAGAUUAUCCGAUUAGCAGAGAGAGAAAUAUAAUAGCUACUCGCUUUUUUAUUCCAUAAUGGCCGAAGGAGGGCAAAACGUGGAUUUGCGAAUUUAAAUUGCUUAACGACGGCAGCAAUGAGACACCAAAGCACGACUGGACACUUGCAAGCUUCGGUUCUUCUAAAAACUUUUGGGGACACCCGAGUGGAUGCACAGCUAAACGAACAGGUGCGAAAGGGAUUUAUUGUUGGAACUGAAGCGCACAGAUAAACUGUACAACCAAGUCAUUGAGGUCUUCUUGAGGAGAGAAAGGAGAAUGGACUUUGUGUUAAAAUAACUGUUUUGGAGGACAGUUGUUUUGGUGGUGAGUCCAGUGAAAGGUACCAACCGCCCUAACCGG